rnacentral:tRNA from 1 species
GCAGCCGUAGCUCAGUUGGUAGAGCACCGGAUUGUGGAUCCGGUUGUCGUUGGUUCGAUCCCAACCGGCUGUACCA